rnacentral:tRNA from 1 species
AUCUAAUUGGCAGAACAAGUGCAUUAAGUUUAAGCCUUAAAUAUAAUACUUAUAUCAUUAUAUC